CUGCUAUAUAUUUGUUCCCUGGCGUCAAUAAUGUUCUCAUUAAGGAAAACAGGAGGGGGUGACUGCAGUAUUUUGUUUUUUAGAGUAUCACCUGAUUUCGCCUCCGCGAGGAUUCGAGUCUAGAGACCGGGGGCAUACAUUUACUUGCUCAACUAAAUGAGUUAGUGGCGCUUCACAUAUUGUUGUAUUGCCGUGCAAAAGAGCAAUAUAACUGUAUUUCUUGAUUCAUUUCACCCUGUUUCACUAUGCACUAGGGAUUUAGGUAAUAUUGGAACUUAUUUUUUUUUCAAUAUAAAACUUCAUCUUCAGCAUAUUUGCAAGGUCACGAUCUAGAAGAAAACUGAAAUAUAACAAAAUCACGUACAUACUACUUUGUGCUAUUUUUCGUUAUUUUUUUUUGGCAAGAUCAAGUCAUCUUAACAUCCACAGAAGAACGAACACAUACGUAUGCUUCGGUGCACUAGACAAGAAGUGACCACAUACAUCAUGCAUGCAAUGGAAAUUUGCCGAGAUAUAUAGAGGAAAAAUAAUGAGUCAUGUACACGAGUAAUGUACAUAGAGAUACAUAUAGGAAAAAUAAUGAGUCACGGCACACGAGUAAUGUACAAUAAUCACAAAAGUAGAAAUACUCAUCAUGCGUGCAUGAAACAACAUGAAUUAAGAACAUAAUACAAGAAAUACAAAAAG
rnacentral:lncRNA from 1 species